CUAACCUGCAAACGCCAGGAUAUGCCUUCACAAGUCCCGCCCUCCUUAGCGACUGUUGCUAACGAAGAUAGAGCCAGUUUCGCAGCAUCUGCUUGAGUGAAUUACCGCAAGACUUUAUUUGGUUUUUUGGAAGCAUCAUCAGAUAUAAAGUUUUCCGAGGAAGGUUACAUACAAAUCACUAGGUCCUCUGGCUACUGCUCCUAAUAUAGUGAGGAUGUACAUUACAUCUGCGGUGUUCCAGACAAGUAGAAGAUCUGCCAACAGAGAUGGCUUCACCAAGUUUAUGAAUAAACCAAGGGGGAAGAAAAUCCAGGGUAAACUUGUCACAAAUACGAUUGUUGCCAAGGUCAAGUUAAACAGAAAGAGAAAGCCCAUUCUUCACCAACACACUUACAACAGGUGCUGACUUCAGCCAAGUUUAUUCACGUUCAUUUAACAUGGAAACAUAAUAGACAAUAGUGGGAUGUCUUUACAGUAUAGAGUUGUACAUGAGUAGAACACAGUAGUCAACAGUUCCAUAGUACACCAUGACCAUUUCUGC